ACCCGAAACCGACACUGGUGGUCAGGUAGAGUAUACCAAGGCGCUUGAGAGAACUAUGCUGAAGGAACUCGGCAAAUUGCACGCGUAACUUCGGAAGAAGCGUGACCCUUUUCUGCGCAAGCAGAGGAGGGUGGCACAGACCAGGGGGUAGCGACUGUUUAUCAAAAACACAGGGCUCUGCGAAGUCGCAAGACGACGUAUAGGGUCUGACGCCUGCCCGGUGCUGGAAGGUUAAGAGGAGGUGUGCAAGCACUGAAUUGAAGCCCCAGUAAAUGGCGGCCGUAAUUAUAACGGUCCUAAGGUAGCGAAAUUCCUUGUCGGGUAAGUUCCGACCUGCACGAAUGGCGUAACGAUGGCCACACUGUCUCCUCCUGAGACUCAGCGAAGUUGAAAUGUUUGUGAUGAUGCAAUCUCCCCGCGGAAAGACGGAAAGACCCCAUGAACCUUUACUGUAGCUUUGUAUUGGACUUUGAACAGAUCUGUGUAGGAUAGGUGGGAGGCUUUGAGGCAGUGCCGCUAGGUGCUGCGGAGCCAACGUUGAAAUACCACCCUGGUGUGUUUGAGGUUCUAACCUUGACCCGUUAUCCGGGUUGGGGACAGUGUAUGGUGGGCAGUUUGACUGGGGCGGUCUCCUCCCAAAUCGUAACGGAGGAGUUCGAAGGUACGCUAGGCACGGUCGGAAAUCGUGCUGAUAGUGCAUAGGCAUAAGCGUGCUUGACUGCGAGACUGACAAGUCGAGCAGGUACGAAAGUAGGACUAAGUGAUCCGGUGGUUCUGUAUGGAAGGGCCAUCGCUCAACGGAUAAAAGGUACUCUGGGGAUAACAGGCUGAUACCGCCCAAGAGUUCAUAUCGACGGCGGUGUUUGGCACCUCGAUGUCGGCUCAUCACAUCCUGGGGCUGUAGUCGGUCCCAAGGGUAUGGCUGUUCGCCAUUUAAAGUGGUACGCGAGCUGGGUUCAGAACGUCGUGAGACAGUUCGGUCCCUAUCUGCCGUGGGUGU
rnacentral:rRNA from 1 species